GAUGAACGCUGGCGGCGUGCUUAACACAUGCAAGUCGAACGGGAUCCAAGGGGUGCUUGCACUUUUUGGUGAGAGUGGCGAACGGGUGAGUAACACGUGAGUAACCUGUCCUUUUCUUUGGGAUAAGCAUUCGAAAGGGUGUUUAAUACCUUAUGUUCUGUCUGCCUCGCAUGGGGUGGGUGGGAAAGGCUUUGGCCGGAUUUGGGUGGGCUCGCGGUCUAUCAGCUUGUUGGUGGGGUGAUGGCUUACCAAGGCUUUGACGGGUAGCCGGCCUGAGAGGGGGGUCGGUCACAUUGGGACUGAGAUACGGCCCAGACUCCUGCGGGAGGCAGCAGUGGGGGAUAUUGCACAAUGGGCGAAAGCCUGAUGCAGCGACGCCGCGUGGGGGAUGAAGGCCUGCGGGUUGUAAACUUCUGUUGCUCUGAACAAGGCAUGCCAGUGGGUGUGUUGAGUGUAGGGGUUGAUGAGCGCCGGCUAACUACGUG
rnacentral:rRNA from 1 species